ensembl:lncRNA
AUGCACAUCUCAGCAGUCAGGGAUCUUGAGGUCCAGGAGGUGCUGCUGAGGGAAGGAAGGUUCUGCAUUCAGACCCUCAGAACGCAAAUGAACCCGCCUAACCACUUGGCAGAAGUUGGCUGGUUCCAAGGUCCAUCAUUAUCUCAUCUUCCUCUCAGCAACUUGACCAGGACUGUAGGACAGAUCUCUACAUAUGUGUAGAGGCUCACAUAUGUGACUUCAUUGGCUGACAGGCACAAAGCAAGGUGUCUAUAUCCCAAAAAGCAGGGUGUCUCUACCCAGCUUCUGUGCUCCUUUAUGGCAUAAAUGGCAUGAUCAAACGGUUAUCCACCAUAGUAUCUGCAAUGCAGCUCUGACACUAACCACCUGGAGUUGGUGCAGAUGACGGGUUGGGGGCUCCGUCCCCCACAGGAAGACCCUCACUUUAGAUAUCUGCUACAAGUUCUGGCCCCCCCUGGAUACAUGCACCUCUGACCAACUGGCUGCAAAUUCAGGGGUUUCCCUGACCUCCUGGCAUUCAGUAAUUCACAGUGAUGAACGACACAACUCAGGAAAGUGCCGUACUUAGGAUUGCGGUGUCAUUACCAAGGAUACAAUCAGAACCAGCUACUGGGAGAGGCGUGGAGGGGGAGGUCUGGGAAAGUCCCAGAUUCAGAACUUCCAUGUCCCCAGACCGUGCAAAGCCUCCCAGAUGACUGAUGUGUGAUUACAAACCAGGGAUAGUCAUCCAAGCUUCCAAUGCUCAGAGGUUUCAUGAUGUAGGCGUGACUGAUAGGACUUGAUCUCCAGUCCCUUUCUCCAGGAGGUGAUGGAGCAGGGCCUCAGCCUGCUGUUCACAUGGUCAGUCUUUCUGGCAUGGGCUGUCCUGACCCUGAGUCCCCUCGUUAGCAAAGACUUUGAGGGCUCGCUGUGAAUAACGAAGACUUGCCAAGGAUUUGGAGGUGACUUCCCAGGAACAAAGGCCGGUCCAAUUCUGUAUUAUACAACAAUUUGCUGGUGCUAUCCAAUGACAUGCUCUCACCAGCCCUUGCCAUGGGAUGCUGACUCCAUGCCUCUUACAAAGGAUUCUCCCUGACCCAGCUGAUGGAAGCUGUGUCCUAAGUGCUUUGCAGAGACGACAGCAGAAACCGUCCAGAAAGGCCCCUUCAAUGGCCAAGUGAGUGCUUUGUUCUGAAGGAAGUUAGAGCCCAAGUUCAUACAACUAUCAUGAAAUCUUCGAAACAUUUCAUUUUUUAAGUCAUGAGAUUCCCCUGAGCCCUCCCUGUCCAAGUUGUGUGAUGCUCUCUUUCAGAAGGAAAGGAGCCAGGACAGAAAGCUCGAACCUCGUUCCCCUUAGAUGAACCAGUCUUAUUUCGAGGGGGACUCCUCUCCAUGGUGGGAUUUUCAGCUCAGCUCGGCAUCCCUCAUGCACCAGGCAAUGCAGGUUCAGUAGGGAAGCAGGCUUGAGCCCCACCGUGGAAGGCUUGCAGCCUCGGGUGCAGAGGGGUGAGGCUGGAUCUCAGAUACGGAGCAAGGAUUUCAGUUUGGGCUGGGAAGAGGUAUGCCUGGAGGGCCCUGGGAACACAGAGCAGGUGCCCCGGCUCAGACCAGGAGGGUUAGGGUCAUCUUGGUGUCUUUAAGGGAUCAGUGGGGGUGACUAGAUGAUUGUGGGUAAGGGGACGGCAUGAAUGAGGCAGAGAGGAGCCAAACAGCAACCCCAGGCUGUUUGAAAAUGUGGAAGUUUUGAGUGGGGCUUGAGGGAGUGUAUCAGAAGAUAGCUGGCCAGGUGUGGUGAGUCACGCCUGUAAUCCCAGCACUUUGGGAGGCUGAGAUGGGAGUAUCACUUGAGUUCAGGAGUUCGAGACCAGCCUGGCCAAAAUGGUGAAACCCCGUCUCUUCUAAAAAUACAGCAAAAUUAGCUGAGUGUGGUGGAACACGCCUAUAAUCCCAGUUACUAGGGAGGCUGGGGCACAACAAUCGUUAGGACCUGUCAGGCUGAGGCUGCAGUGAGCCGAGAUCGCACCAUUGCACUCCAGUCUGGGCAACAGAGCAAGAUUCUGUCUCAAAAAUAAAUAAAUAAGUAAAACAAAUAAAGAACGAAAGAAGAUAGCCAAGGAGCUCAGAUUGUCCUGUAUAAAGAAGAAGAGCUAUCAGCUGAUGAAUGGAGAAAUAAAUUGUGGUAUACACACGCACAAGGAAUAACAGCCCUAAAAAAGGAAUGAAGUACUGAAGACAGGACACAACAUAGAUGAGCCUUGAGAACAUUAGCUAAGUGAAAGAAGCCAGACACAAAAGACCAUAUAGUGUAUAAUUCUAUUUGCAUGAAAUGUCCAGAAUAGGCAAACGCACGAAGACAGAAAGCAUGUGAUCGCCUGGG